AUGCUAUAUAUAUCCAUGAAGUUACAUAACACUAUUGACCCCACCCAAGUGAUUGUGGGCUACACUGAACUUGGACAACCACAUAAGCUCCAUCAAGGAAGAUGCAAACAAUUCACUUACAAAUCAUUCAUCUCCUACGACCUUGUUGCUCCCAGAUACGACAUGGUUGCUCCCAGAUACAGUGUUGUUGGUCCCAGAUACAGUAUUGUGGCUCCCGGAUACGGUAUGGAAGCUCCCGGAUACAUUAUUGUCCCGGAUACGGCAUUGUUAUUGUCAGUCACGAUAUGUUUGUCCCCAGAUACAACAUGGUUGCUACCAGUUACGGUAUUGUCGUUCCCGGUUAUGACAGUGUUGUUGCUCCCAGCCACAUUGUUGUUAUUCCCGGAUAUGACAGUGUUGUCAUUCCCAGAAACAACGUUGGUGCUCCCAGAUCUGACAGUGUUGUUGCUCCCAGAUAUUGUAUUUGGUUGUUCGUCGAGUGUUCUUCUAUUACGCUUCACAUACAAUGGCAUGUUAGUAAAAACCAUACCUAGUGAAUGA
rnacentral:rRNA from 1 species